AGAGUUUGAUCAUGGCUCAGGACGAACGCUGGCGGCGUGCUUAACACAUGCAAGUCGAACGAGGUCCACCGCGUAGCAAUACAAGGGAAGACCUAGUGGCGAACGGGUGCGUAACACGUGAGAAACCUGUCCUGGUCUCUGGGAUAACAGUUGGAAACGACUGCUAAUACCGGAUGCCGUCGGAGCGUCGCAUGGCGCGCUGACGAAAGGGUUACUGGAUCAGGAGGGUCUCGCGGCCUAUCAGCUUGUUGGUGGGGUAACGGCCUACCAAGGCAUCGACGGGUAGCUGGUCUGAGAGGAUGAUCAGCCACACUGGGACUGAGACACGGCCCAGACUCCUACGGGAGGCAGCAGAGGGGAAUUUUGGACAAUGGGCGCAAGCCUGAUCCAGCCAUGCCGCGUGCAGGAAGAAGGCCUUCGGGUUGUAAACUGCUUUUGUCAGGGAAGAAAUCUUCUGGGCUAAUACCCCGGGAGGAUGACGGUACCUGAAGAAUAAGCACCGGCUAACUACGUGCCAGCAGCCGCGGUAAUACGUAGGGUGCAAGCGUUAAUCGGAAUUACUGGGCGUAAAGCGUGCGCAGGCGGUGAUGUAAGACAGAGGUGAAAUCCCCGGGCUCAACCUGGGAACUGCCUUUGUGACUGCAUCGCUGGAGUGCGGCAGAGGGGGAUGGAAUUCCGCGUGUAGCAGUGAAAUGCGUAGAUAUGCGGAGGAACACCGAUGGCGAAAGCAAUCCCCUGGGCCUGCACUGACGCUCAUGCACGAAAGCGUGGGGAGCAAACAGGAUUAGAUACCCCGGUAGU
rnacentral:rRNA from 1 species